rnacentral:tRNA from 1 species
GGCUCGGUAGCUCAGUUGGUAGAGCAGAGGACUGAAAAUCCUUGUGUCGCUGGUUCGAUCCCGGCCCGAGCCA